CCUACGGUGGGCAGCAGUGGGGAAUAUUGGACAAUGGGCGAAAGCCUGAUCCAGCCAUGCCGCGUGUGUGAAGAAGGCCUUCGGGUUGUAAAGCACUUUCAGUGGGGAAGAAAGCCUUGGGGCCAAUACCCUCGAGGAAGGACAUCACCCACAGAAGAAGCACCGGCUAACUCCGUGCCAGCAGCCGCGGUAAUACGGAGGGUGCGAGCGUUAAUCGGAAUUACUGGGCGUAAAGCGCGCGUAGGCGGUCUGAUAAGCCGGUUGUGAAAGCCCCGGGCUCAACCUGGGAACGGCAUCCGGAACUGUCAGGCUAGAGUGCAGGAGAGGAAGGUAGAAUUCCCGGUGUAGCAGUGAAAUGCGUAGAGAUCGGGAGGAAUACCAGUGGCGAAGGCGGCCUUCUGGACUGACACUGACGCUGAGGUGCGAAAGCGUGGGUAGCAAACAGGAUUAGAUACCCUGGUAGUC
rnacentral:rRNA from 1 species